rnacentral:rRNA from 1 species
GUUAAAAAGCUUGUAGUUGGAUUUCUGUCGAAAACAGCCGGUCCGCUCUAUGAGCGUGUAUCUGGUUUGGUUUUGGCAUCCUCGAGGGGUACUGCGCUGUGCUUGAUUGCAUGGCCAGGAAUUCUCGACUUUUACUUUGAGGAAAUUAGAGUGUUCACGGCAGGCAAGCGCCUUGAAUACAUUAGCAUGGAAUAAUAAUAUAGGACUUUGGUUCUAUUUUGUUGGUUUCUAGAACUAAAGUAAUGAUUAAUAGGG